rnacentral:rRNA from 2 species
UGGGGAAUAUUGGACAAUGGGGGAAACCCUGAUCCAGCCAUGCCGCGUGUGUGAAGAAGGCCUUUUGGUUGUAAAGCACUUUAAGCAGUGAAGAAGACUCUUCGGUUAAUACCCGGAGACGAUGACAUUAGCUGCAGAAUAAGCACCGGCUAACUCUGUGCCAGCAGCCGCGGUAAUACAGAGGGUGCAAGCGUUAAUCGGAAUUACUGGGCGUAAAGCGAGCGUAGGUGGCUUGAUAAGUCAGAUGUGAAAUCCCCGGGCUUAACCUGGGAACUGCAUCUGAUACUGUCAGGCUAGAGUAGGUGAGAGGAAGGUAGAAUUCCAGGUGUAGCGGUGAAAUGCGUAGAGAUCUGGAGGAAUACCGAUGGCGAAGGCAGCCUUCUGGCAUCAUACUGACACUGAGGCUCGAAAGCGUGGGUAGCAAACA